AGUGAACGCUGGCGGUAGGCCUAACACAUGCAAGUCGAACGGCAGCACAGUAAGAGCUUGCUCUUACGGGUGGCGAGUGGCGGACGGGUGAGGAAUACAUCGGAAUCUACUUUUUCGUGGGGGAUAACGUAGGGAAACUUACGCUAAUACCGCAUACGACCUACGGGUGAAAGCAGGGGAUCUUCGGACCUUGCGCGAUUGAAUGAGCCGAUGUCGGAUUAGCUAGUUGGCGGGGUAAAGGCCCACCAAGGCGACGAUCCGUAGCUGGUCUGAGAGGAUGAUCGGCCACACUGGAACUGAGACACGGUCCAGACUCCUACGGGAGGCAGCAGUGGGGAAUAUUGGACAAUGGGCGCAAGCCUGAUCCAGCCAUGCCGCGUGAGUGAAGAAGGCCUUCGGGUUGUAAAGCCCUUUUGUUGGGAAAGAAAAGCAGCAGGUUAAUACCCCGCUGUUCUGACGGUACCCAAAGAAUAAGCACCGGCUAACUUCGUG
rnacentral:rRNA from 1 species